UACGAAGGGGGCUAGCGUUGCUCGGAAUUACUGGGCGUAAAGGGAGCGUAGGCGGAUAGUUUAGUCAGAGGUGAAAUCCCGGGGCUCAACCUCGGAACUGCCUUUGAUACUGGCUAUCUUGAGUAUGGGAGAGGUGUGUGGAACUCCGAGUGUAGAGGUGAAAUUCGUAGAUAUUCGGAAGAACACCAGUGGCGAAGGCGACACACUGGCCCAUUACCGACGCUGAGGCUCGAAAGCGUGGGGAGCAAACAGG
rnacentral:rRNA from 1 species